CACUUCUUUGCAUGGUCAGCACAUGCUUCAGUGCUCUGAGAGUGUUUAUAGAGCUGUGAGUUUAACACUUCAUGACUGAGAGCAGAACAGAACACAAUCUUCAUCAUCACACAAGACACAACAACAACAAUGAACAACAUCAUCAUCCUCAUCUGGACCAUUGCAGCUUUUAUUCAAGAAUCCAGAGGAAUCACUGUGACUCAGCCUAAAGUUAAAACUGUCCAGCUCGGUCAAACAGCUACAAUAGAGUGUAAUCUGGAUGUAGGACUAACCUCUAAUGGUUUGGCUUGGUAUCAGCAGAAACCUGGAGAAACUCCUAAACUCCUCAUAUAUGGCAUACAAUACCUCCAGUCAGGAACUCCAUCUAGAUUCAGUGGCAGUGGAUCAAACUAUGGAAAAGAUUUCUCUCUGACCAUCAGUGGAGUCCAGACUGAAGAUACAGGAGAUUAUUACUGUCAGAGUAGACACUAUAUCAGUAGUAGCUAUGUGUUCACACAGUGAUAAAGAGUCGUACAAAAACCUCCGUCAGUCAGAGUCACAGUGACUGCACUGAUACAGCUGAGAGACACUGCAGCUGCUGAUGGAGGAUGUGAUUAAACACAUUUACUUUAUUUAUUAUUUACUUUUGGUUCUUUAGAGAUUCAAAAAGUUCUUGAUGUGUCAUUAUAGGGUCUUCAAAUCAGUGCACGGAAAGUAUGGACCAUGUAAUAGCACACUUGAGGAGAUACAGUAUGUAAAACAAAAACAUUUUUUCAUAUAUAAUUUAUUUUCAUUAUUAUGAUAUGUUUUGACAUUUGCCAAUAACUUAAAACAUGCAAUGAUAAUAUUACAAUUUGGUUACUACAUCUUAGUCAUUUGCCAUAUCACAAGAAGGUAACACAAAUCCAGUAUUUUUUUUUUCUUCGUGUAGAGUAUGUGGUAUUUUUGAACUCAAGCACACAAACCACUAUUGGACACGUGUUUUAAUGUAGGACUGAAAAGGGUUCCUUCUGGCACUAUUGGUGGUUUUCUCGAUGUACCUGUACAUUAAUGGAGUAAGAGGCUCUUUGAGGAUUUUCCAACUCAACUGACUCAUUUCAGAGAAUAAAGAGUCAAAUUCAUAUUUGAGUGAUUGUGUUCCUCUCAGAAUAGAGCAGCUCCAUCAGCAGAUGUUCAGCGUCCUCACAGGAGCUUCAUGAUACAGCUGUGUAAAAGCACACAUGCACUCUUUUCUGCUGUUGUUGGUGAAAGCAGAGCAGAUGUCAGAUGAGAGAGAGUAAAGCUCAGUGUGGAGAAUGAUUGGAGUCUCUCAUGUGCUGUUGGUCUCGAUGUGAGACAUCAGUGAGAAUCCAGAGGAGAGAGUGAGUGGAUCUGCUCUGAACAAUGAUCUCUCCUCACUUCUCAUCACGAGAGAGUCAGGCUGCUGCUCCAGAUGUUCAGACCGUCCUUCUGCAGGACUCCAGCACUGCUGUCCUGAGACCUGAUGUUCCCAAACACCUUCAGCUCCGGCUCCAGUCUGAAGAGAAGCUUGAGUUUGUCUCUCACAUCAGUUCUACUGAUCUUUGUGGAAAUCUCUUCACACUCACUGCAGGAGAAAUGAUGCCUGACAAUCAGAGAACACAUCAUCUCAACACAUUAACAUUUAUAUUGUAUUAUUAUUUAUGUUUAUAUUAUAACACAUUGAUAGUGUUUGGCCUUUACCUCUCUGCUCACAGCAAGUAGCUUAGGAAACAAAUAAAGAUGUAAAAACAAGA